GCCCUCUUUAGCACCUGUCCCCAGGCCUUUCCGCCAUCAAACCCCUACCCAUCUCUUCUUUUAGCACUUCCCUCUCUCUCUCUCUCUCUAUCUCUCGUCAAGGUUCAUAUCAUGGCUGACCGCACUGCUCCCCAUAGAACUUCAAGACCUUCAGCCACAACCAACACCUCCACCUUUCUACGUAAACUGCAAGCUCAUGCUCCCAACUCAACCCAACUCUUCGGUUUCUUGACCCUCCUCAUCUCCGGUUCCAUUCUUCUCCUCCUCACAGGCAUCACCGUC
rnacentral:misc_RNA from 1 species